rnacentral:rRNA from 1 species
CGGCGAGUGAAGCGGCAACAGCUCAAAUUUGAAAUCUGGCGCAAGCCCGAGUUGUAAUUUGUAGAGGAUGUUUCUGGCGACGUACCUUCCGAGUUCCCUGGAACGGGACGCCAUAGAGGGUGAGAGCCCCGUACGGUUGGUUGCCUAGCCUCUGUGAAACUCCUUCGACGAGUCGAGUAGUUUGGGAAUGCUGCUCUAAAUGGGAGGUAUACGUCUUCUAAAGCUAAAUACCGGCCAGAGACCGAUAGCGCACAAGUAGAGUGAUCGAAAGAUGAAAAGCACUUUGAAAAGAGGGUUAAAUAGUACGUGAAAUUGUUGAAAGGGAAGCGUUUAUGACCAGACUUGGGCAGGUUGAUCAUCCGUGGUUCUCCGCGGUGCACUCUGCCUGCCCAGGCCAGCAUCAGUUCAGUUCGGGGGAUAAAGGCUUCGGGAAUGUAGCUCCCUCGGGAGUGUUAUAGACCGUUGCGUAAUACCCUGAUCUGGACUGAGGUUCGCGCUCUGCAAGGAUGCUGGCGUAAUGGUCAUCAGCGACCCGUCUUGAAACACGGACCAAGGAGUCGUCUUCGUAUGCGAGUGUUCGGGUGUCAAACCCCUACGCGUAAUGAAAGUGAAC